UGGUUCUGGCAUCGAUGAAGAACGCAGCGAAAUGCGAUAAGUAAUGCGAAUUGCAGAAUUCCAGUGAGUCAUCGAAUCUUUGAACGCACAUUGCGCCCUUUGGCAUUCCGAAGGGCAUGCCUGUUCGAGCGUCAUUAUCACCCCUCGGGCCCCGUGCUCGACGUUGGACGGCCGGUCGGGCAACCGACCCCUCCUAAAGACAAUGACGGCGGCCUGUGGUUCCCCCCGGCACACUGAGCUUUUCACCGAGCACGUGCCGGACGAGGGCGCCCUGGACCCGGUCCUCUCCUUUCACCAGGAAAUUUUUUGCAAGGUUGACCUCGGAUCAGGUAGGAAUACGCGCUGA
rnacentral:misc_RNA from 1 species